UACGGAGAGUGCGAACGUUGUUCGGAUUCACUGGGCGUAAAGGGCACGUAGGCGGCUUGGCAAAUCGGUCGUGGAAUCCCGACGCUUACCGUCGGAACGGCGGCCGAAAAUACCGAGCUCGAGGGCGUGAGGGGUCACUGGAACUGACGGUGGAGCGGUGAAAUGCGUAGAUAUCGUCAGGAACGCCGAUGGUGAAGACAGGUGACUGGGCUAGUUCUGACACUGAGGCACGAAAGCGUGGGGAGCGAACGGG
rnacentral:rRNA from 1 species